AACUCAAAGGAAUUGACGGGGACCCAGCACAAGCGGUGGAUGAUGUGGAUUAAUUCCGAUGCAACAGCGAAGAACCUUACCUACCCUUGACAUGCCCGGGAAUCCUGCCCAGAGGCGGGA
rnacentral:rRNA from 1 species